UACACAUUAACUUGCUGACAUGCCAUUUCCAUCUCAGACAAAACAUGGAAACAGAAUGGGAACUCUGGGAAGCAAAUAGAUCUGAAACAUUAGAUAAGGGAAACGCAUAAAGGGUGAUGAAUGAGCACAUGAGCCCAUGUCAGAGAAGAUGCUUGUUCCCUCAACAUCCUUUCUUUGCCAGUAUGUGACGUUCUCUGGGGCAGUUUCCAAUCAUUGCUGCUGUUAGCCAGCUAAUCAUCAGAGUCGUCAACAUCCUGACCCCAGAGAGCACACAAUUCCCUAUCAUCAGCCUCUGUGCACAAUGCAGCCUCGGCAAUGAGAGGAGUUCCAAACAUCCCUGCAUUCUCUGGCUCAAGAUUGGCAUCAUGGGGAGGCUGCCAGGGCUCCAGGAGUGGAGCCAGGGGAUCAGAGUGCCAAAGCCAGCAGGUGGCAACAGCCAGUAGCAGCUCAGAGAGGCAGAUGAGUCUUUCCAGCACUCAGGACAGCCAACAGAGAAAUUCAAAUUGUCCCAGUGAACACAGGGAAAGGUAGAUUUCUACAUGGGUGUGGACAGUGGCAGCACUCUGAGUUCCCUGGCUCAGUUAAAUAGGAGACCAUUACAAAAAGCCGCAACCAAUCAAACUGAAGAGCUGCUGAGACCAGUAACAGCAAGAGAACUCUUUCACCGAAGGCUGACUUAGGAGUCAUUGUAGAAAAGGAAGGAGUGAGAAGUUUGUAAGAACCAAAAUAACAGGGAAUUUUCACCUCUAAACUUUCAGAAGCUACACCCAUAAAGUCUCACCAACAUGGCUGUCUAAACAUGAGCUGAACAAGGACAACACACCGGACACGCUCAUGUGGAUGUGGUGUUUGCAGAGUCCAGGAACCUCAGCCUGCACAAAGAACUACAGGCAACUAAGGAAUGUUGAGACCUGAGAAACAGUCUUUCCCAAGGAAGAGAAUACCAAUUGGUUAUCCUAACAAAUGGUCAGCCCUGAAAAUAUACAUACAAGUAACAGUAUAUAAACUGAGCAGGUUGUAUUUGUGUACUUAUGGGUGUGUGUGUGUGUGUGUGUGUGUG